ACUCCGGUACAAGUCAUAACCAUAUCCAGAUCUGGUUUGUAUAGGUGACUGAGAUAACCUCAGCCUCAUCUCAGGAAGUGGCCACUUUUGGAGAGUCCGACUAUCACGGUAGGCACAGAACUCUGCCAUGUCACUAGCUGAAUGACCUCGGAUGUCACUUCAACUCUGAGCCUUAGAACUUGUCAACUGCAAAGUGGGGCACUUCACCGAGCUACAUCAUUGAGCUACUUCACUGAGCUACUUCAUUGAAUUGGGAAAAUUAAAGGAGCAAAUAUGGGAGAAGGAUUUGGCCCAUAGUAAACACUAUGACUGUCCGUCUUCUGCCAUCUUUCAGUAGACCCAGUGGAAUUAUAUGAAGGUUGAUAGGCACUUAAACCAAGAAUAUAUGAACAUCUAUUCUGUGCAAGAUGUGUGCAUUGAACUCAGUCCAGGACUGAAGGGGACAGGAGGAAGAUUGUGCCUGCAGCCUGGCCUGUUGCCCACAGCGGUCUACCUGCCACACUGGGAAAGAUCGAGCAGAGACAGAGAAGAAAAGGAGGCUCCAUUUUUCAGGCUGCUCUCCCGCAGGCUCAUGUUUUGUGUUCAUGCCAGGCAGAGAACACAAAAUGUUCCAAUAAAUAAGUAUCAAAGGUUAGUGGUGAAAAUGAAGGAGGAGGAGGCAUUGCGUGAAAAACUAAACAUGCAAAAUAUUACACACAAAGAGAACCAAAAUGCAGGUUCACUGGAAAUGAUAGACAAUAUGUUAAAACAAGAGGAGAGAAGAGAGCUGAAAUAAUCAAAUGGAAACACACAAUUUAGGGCUAAGAUCUUGUUGUGUUCAGCCACAAAUGAUGGCCAGCAGUGAGGAAUCUGUGUGUUCUCCACACUCUUCGCUCCUGGGAAGUCAACUCACAUGGACCAUGAUAUCAAUAUCUGCUCCUUCCCCUAAUAUCUGUUUGACCUUGGGUCAGUUACUUAAACUUCCUAAGCCUUAGUUUCUUUGUCUGGAAAAUAGGGAUAGUUAUACCUACCACACAACCACUUUGUAAUGAAUAUGUUGGAAAUUAUAUGCAAAUUGGCUUCCGUUGGUGUUUGGAACAUAGUAGGUUUUUAACUGGAAUAUAAUAGCUACCAUUAUCAGUAUCAUCAUAUUAAUUUAUAUUUCCAUCUUCAGCCCUUAACCCAGGAUCUUCAGUAAAUGUUGAAUUCUCAAAUUUGUUAAAUUCACUUGUCUAUACUAAUAUUUUACUCUAGGUUUCUUAGAAUAUUCUAGAUAAUAUUAUUAUGUAGAAUAUGUUAUGUAAGCUUCAUCUUAUCUGUAAAUAUAGUUUUACUUUUUCCUUUCUAAUUUUUAUGUCGAUUACUUCUUUUUCUUGGCUUAUUGAAUUGGCUAGGAUUCCCGUACAGUGUUGAAUACGUGCAGCAAGACUGCACAUCUUGCCUUGUUCCUGGUCCCACAGAGAGAAUAUCCAGUACUUCACAAUAAGUAUGUGUUAAUUGUAGAUUUUAUUAGAUUGAGGAAGUUCCCUUUCCUUUCAAGUCAGUCUUUUUAUUUUAAACAUGUAUUGAAGUUUUGUCAAAUGUCUUCAUCUAUUGGAAUAAUUAUACAUAUCUCUUUUUUAUUCUGUUAAUAUUACAUUUCAAUCUUCUGUCUACCUAAAAUCCCUAGAAUAAUCUCCAUUUGGCUAUGAUGUGUUGUGCUUUUAUAUAUUACUGAAUUCUAUAUGCCAAUAUUAUUAAAAUUUUCUGUCUUUAUGAGAAA
ensembl:lncRNA CCDC26 CCDC26 long non-coding RNA